rnacentral:rRNA from 1 species
UCGAGGAUCUUCGGCAAUGGGCGCAAGCCUGACCGAGCGACGCCGCGUGUGGGAUGAAGGCCUUCGGGUUGUAAACCACUGUCAGAGCGGAGGAAGUACGUCUGGGUUCUCCCAGGCGCUUGACCUAUGCUCAGAGGAAGGACGGGCUAAGUUCGUGCCAGCAGCCGCGGUAAGACGAACCGUCCGAACGUUAUUCGGAAUCACUGGGCUUAAAGGGUGCGUAGGCUGUGCGGAAAGUUGGGUGUGAAAUACCUCAGCUUAACUGAGGAACUGCGCUCAAAACUACCGUGCUUGAGGGAGACAGAGGUGAGCGGAACUUAGGGUGGAGCGGUGAAAUGCGUUGAUAUCCUAAGGAACACCGGUGGCGAAAGCGGCUCACUGGGUCUCUUCUGACGCUGAGGCACGAAAGCUAGGGUAGCGAACGGGAUUAGAUACCCCUGUAGUCC